AUUUAAAGCCUGACCUUGAGAUCCAAGUUGGAAUGUUGGGAAGGCUAUCUCAGCUUUAACUAGAGCUAAAGAUAGCAGGGGAGAAAUUUUCUCAGAGAUGAAGCUUAAAGGAAGUGGAAGUUAUUUGCUUUUGGAGAAUAUUUGCGACUCUGAGAGAAGAAUCGGAACUGACUCUCCUUUUUUGUUAAAGCAUUUUAAAGUCUGCAAAGGGCUUGUGGCUUCCCAGCGACCCUGAAGAGGACAUCAGGAUGACUGGGACAGGAACUGGACUCACAUGUGGUUGUGAGCUGCCUUGCCUGAUGCUUGGGGACCAGUUCUACAAGGAAGCCAUUGAACAUUGCCGGAGCUACAAUUCACGGCUGUGUGCAGAGCGGAGUGUGCGUCUCCCCUUCCUGGACUCCCAGACUGGGGUGGCGCAGAACAAUUGCUACAUCUGGAUGGAGAAGAGGCACCGAGGCCCAGGCCUUGCUCCGGGACAGCUGUACACGUACCCUGCCCGCUGCUGGCGCAAGAAGCGACGAUUGCACCCACCAGAGGACCCGAAGCUGCGACUCCUGGAAAUAAAACCUGAAGUAGAGUUACCCCUGAAGAAAGACGGCUUCACCUCUGAGAGUACCACAUUGGAAGCCCUGCUUCGUGGUGAGGGAGUGGAGAAGAAGGUGGAUGCCAGAGAGGAGGAAAGCAUCCAGGAAAUACAGAGGGUUUUGGAAAAUGACGAAAAUGUAGAAGAAGGGAAUGAAGAGGAGGAUUUGGAAGAGGACAUUCCCAAGCGCAAGAACAGGACCAGAGGACGGGCUCGUGGCUCUGCAGGCGGCAGGAGGAGACAUGAUGCUGCUUCUCAGGAAGACCAUGACAAACCCUACGUGUGUGACAUCUGUGGCAAACGCUACAAGAACCGGCCGGGGCUCAGCUACCACUACGCUCACACUCACCUGGCCAGCGAGGAGGGAGAUGAAGCCCAAGGCCAGGACACCCGGUCCCCGCCCAACCACAGAAAUGAGAACCACAGGCCCCAGAAAGGACCAGAUGGGACGGUCAUUCCCAAUAACUACUGUGACUUCUGUUUGGGAGGCUCGAACAUGAACAAGAAGAGCGGGAGGCCUGAAGAGCUGGUGUCCUGUGCAGACUGCGGACGUUCUGCUCAUUUGGGAGGAGAAGGCAGGAAGGAGAAGGAGGCAGCGGCGGCAGCACGUACCACGGAGGACUUAUUCGGUUCCACGUCAGAAAGUGACACCUCAACUUUCUACGGCUUUGAUGAGGACGAUUUGGAAGAGCCUCGCUCCUGUCGAGGACGCCGCAGUGGCCGGGGUUCACCCACAGCAGAUAAAAAGGGCAACUGCUGAGCCCAUGGGACAGACUGUCUGGCCAAUUAGCCAACCCCUCUGACUCUGGUCAUUGUUCUAGUUCUGAUAUAUAUUUUUAAAUGAAAGAUGACUUGGGCUUUUCCCGUUAUCCUUGCUUUUUCCUCCUACCUUCCAUGUGCCCCUCCCCCUCCUAGCAUCCUUCUAUUCUGGGUACAACAGAAGCACAAACUACUGAAAACAAAACAACAAAAGAGCAGAAUAAGCACCCUCUGGGGAGAGAUGGCACCAUAGUGGGCUAUUUAUUUUCCCUAGAAAUAGAAGUUAGGUGGAUUUUCUUUCUGCUGGGGAGGGCAACUUUUUGAUGUGAGCAGAGUUGAUUUUCCCAGUUUUCAAGGGAACAAGAGCAUGAGGUUUGGAAACAAAGAACAAAUAACAUUAACAAUUAUUAUUUAUAUAUGCUACCUAUUAUUAGUUUCAGAUGAGGGAAGAGAGAGAGAGAGAGGGAGGGAGAGAAUCAAAGAAAUGAAAGUAAUACCCUGUUUAGGGGCAAGCCUGUGUGUGUGUGUGUGUGUGUGUGUGUGUGUGUGUGUGUGUACGUGUGCAUGUGUGUGUGAGUGUGCGUGCGUGCUUGUGUGUGUGUGUGUGUGUGUGUGUAGAAUUUCCUCAAUGGGAGUUGGUGGCUCCGCAGAGCAGACCCCUCCCCAUGUCUCCUCCAUGACCUUUACAUCUUUCUCUCUGCUGUGAGAAAAUGGCAGCCAUUCCAGAGAAGCCUGGGGCCACUUACAUUUGGCCUCCUUCCAGCGCUGGCCCUGGCCAGCAGUGGCCGCUCCCCUCGGCUCCUCUUCUCUCCUUGUUGCUGGGUUUCCCUCACUUUCGUCCUGGCAAAGAUCAGCGUCCGCCCGUGCAUCUGAACACAGGAACGGGAUGUCAGCGAGUCACAGGCUCCGCUCUGGCAGAGCACCUGAGGGGGCACUCCUGGAAGGAAGGGUGAUACCGCACAAUGUAGCCCCUUCCCUCAGCCCUGCGUAAAAACAUGGAACCGCCCACUGGAUUAUGACGUCUUCCGUAUUUCUUCUACUUUUUAUAGUGCCUGCCAGGCACGUUGUUUUAUCUUUCCAAUAGCAUUUCCUGAAAUAAACCAAAGCAACACUUGGUCCGAGACUCAGGGAUAAGGAAGACUGCCCACCUCAUUGGCAGUCCCCGAGAACAGCUGGGAGGCCCUGCUUGAACAGUCCGCUCUGUGACCCAGGAACUGCACGUCCUGCAAGCAAGCCAUUCCUGAAGAAAGUGAAGCGAAUCCAGACAAGGAGCCUCUCCUCCUCCUCCUCCUCUUCUCCUUGUCCAGCCGGUCCUGAGCAUGGAUUUCAGCUAAUGCCGGAACCUGCAGGGAUUGGAUAGAAAAGCCUCCAGCAUCUCUCAACUCUGCUCAGCCAAGUUUCGGAAAUGGCUCAAGUUUGUGCAAUAAGAAGAUUUUAUUUUAUUUUUUCCUUUUAAAAGUCUUCAUUGCCUUUGCUUGAAAUGUCUGAGAAAGUACCCAGCUCGGAGUGGAAUUUGCUCUGCGAUAGAAAUAACAAUGCAAACUGACAAAGACAAAAAAAAGUGAACUAUUUUAUUUAUUUCAAUAUUUAAAAGAAAAAAGUGCUGACAUUGCACUGUAUUUUUGUUUAAAGUACCUUCUACUUCAAAAGUUAAAAAAAAAGCAAUUUUGUGAAGACCUGAAAUCUAAAGAGUGCUUACUGUAAAAUAAAUGCAUCGUAUUGACUUUACGGAAAAGUACCCCACAUUUUUAAUAAGGAAAUAAAGAUCAGAUCUGCUCUCUCAGGCUUUUAAGAAAGCCAUUUGUGUAUGUCCUUUAGGGUUCUGUUGUUGUUGUUAAUUUCUGCUAGUUGGAUAUGGUAAGAAAGGACUGGUCAGUCCUUCCAAAAUCCCCUGCAAAGUAUUGUUGAUAUUAAGUAAUUAUGUGUUAGGAUUUGACUAAAAUAAAUUAGCUCCAGGCCGGCAGUGUGGCCCACUCUCUACUCUCCCUCACCUCAGAUGAUCAGAAUGUGAAGCUGCAGAGGGCCCAUCUUGUCUCAUGAGGCCUGAUCGAGGAAGGAAUUCUACCUACUGAUUGAAUGCGUUGCUGCCAAGGUUAGAGAUGCAAACAGAAAUGAUUCUGUUUCAAACAGUUCAGUGAAGAAAAACAAAACAGCCACAAGUCAGCAGUGGACGAGGUGCCGUUAGUUCAGUCAGGAGUUGUCCAGGGUGCUCUGCCGAGCAGACAUCAGAGGGCCCGAGAGCCUAGAGUUUCUCUGAAGACUAGGGAGUUGACUGGAAGGAUAUAAACUUGAAACUAAGUUAUUUGUGUGAAGAAGUAGGAAGGCCAGUGUUCUAUGUGUGUCCUUUAUGGCUCUUAUGGCCAAUGAAAUGGAAUUUGGCAUUGCAUGUUUGACCUAGCCCAGGAAGUCAGCGGACUGACUGGGUCACUGGGUUCUACCUCUUGGCUUCUACUUAGCUUGUCUUUUACAUGUCCAGAGCAGAGUCAUGGAUGACACAUUACAGUUCAAGGCUGGACAUUCUUGUUAGCAAAGGUGCUUGAGCCACAGUAUUACUGAAAUGUCCCCAGCCUGAGAAUAAAUCUCACCUAACAUUGCAAGGGAAGGGUGGAUGGGCAGACUUUCCAUUAGACCCUUCAGGUUUCCCACUCAAGAGAAGGGCGAUGUCAUCAAAAGUGUGUUUCUAUCAUUUUCUGAUAGAAAAUGCCCCUUGUCAAAAAUGUUAAUUAUAAUAAUGAUCUGUUCUCCAACCCACACUCACAAGUUACGAUACAUGUAGAAUUGUGAUAAAGCUUUGCAUAAUGUAGGGUUUGUGUGAAGUCUGUAAGUUCUGUUAAAUAAAAGACUUUUCCAAUGGUCUUA